GGACGAACGCUGGCGGCGUGCCUAAUUACAUGCAAGUCGAGCGAACCACUUCGGUGGUUAGCGGCGGCGGGUGAGUAACACGUGGGCAACCUGCCUGUAGAGACUGGAUAACUUCGGGAAACCGGAGUAAUACCGGAUAAUCCUUUUCCUCUCAUGAGGAAAGACUGAAAGCGGUUUCGGCUGUCACUUACAGAUGGGCCCGCGGCGCAUUAGCUAGUUGGUGAGGUAACGGCUCACCAAGGCGACGAUGACGUAGCCGACCUGAGAGGGUGAUCGGCCACACUGGGACUGAGACACGGCCCAGACUCCUACGGGAGGCAGCAGUAGGGCAAUCUUCCACAAUGGACGAAAGUCUGAUGGAGCAAGCCGCGUGAGC
rnacentral:rRNA from 1 species